rnacentral:lncRNA from 1 species
GCCCUGGUCAUUAACCAGACUUUCUCUCUACUCAUGAGCCAGCCUCAGGCAUCUAAAUGUGAGUCCUUCCCACUUCUGUGCUCACAGAAGUUGAAGCGGGGCGCUGUGGGGAACCAAUCUCUUGUUUUUGAUGAGAUAUUUUCCCUGUGAAAUGGCCUGCACAUUGCCUUCCAUUUCCAGGAGCAACGGUCCAUCUGCCUGUCAGAAAGAAGACCCAGACACAGUCCCGGAUGCAACCAUGACUCUCAGCACCAAGGCAUCCCCCCUUCAGCGUUCAGAAUGCAUUCUACAGUGAAUCAUUGCAAUAAGAAAAAACAAUGUGGGCAACAUCUUUUGAAGAUGCCUGGGAACCGCCUCUGUGUCUUUUAAAAGUCUUCUGUUGAAAUGUUUGUGAAAGUUACACUGAUCAGUGUGGGCCACAGCUGCAAGACCUCUUCC